CGAAAGUUAGCUCAACUGGCAGAGCAAUCGACUGAAAAUCGAUGUGUCGCAGGUUCAACUCCUGCACUUUCCACCA
rnacentral:tRNA from 1 species